rnacentral:lncRNA from 1 species
GACCUGAAAACACAUGAUGAUGUUUGGCAAACUGACAAGACUCACAAUUUAAAGUAGAUAUACUAGAAAACUGAGGAUAUAACUGUUUAAGUAGCGGAAGUGAUGGAUGACCCAAUCGACAGUGAAUAUCGAACGGACUGAGGGCACUGGAACAUGCAAUGGGUUUAGGCACCUGAGUAUCCAAUAUGUAUAGUCCUCCUGACUCAUGUCCUC